AACGAACGUUGGCGGCAUGCCUAACACAUGCAAGUCGAACGAGACCUUCGGGUCUAGUGGCGCACGGGUGCGUAACGCGUGGGAAUCUGCCCUUGGGUUCGGAAUAACUCAGAGAAAUUUGAGCUAAUACCGGAUGAUGACGAAAGUCCAAAGAUUUAUCGCCCAAGGAUGAGCCCGCGUAAGAUUAGCUUGUUGGUGGGGUAAUGGCCCACCAAGGCGACGAUCUUUAGCUGGUCUGAGAGGAUGAUCAGCCACACUGGGACUGGGACACGGCCCAGACUCCUACGGGAGGCAGCAGUGGGGAAUAUUGGACAAUGGGCGAAAGCCUGAUCCAGCAAUGCCGCGUGAGUGAUGAAGGCCUUAGGGUUGUAAAGCUCUUUUACCAGGGAUGAUAAUGACAGUACCUGGAGAAUAAGCUCCGGCUAACUCCGUGCCAGCCGCCGCCGUAAUAC
rnacentral:rRNA from 1 species